rnacentral:tRNA from 1 species
GCCCGGGUGGCGGAACUUGGUAGACGCAAGGGACUUAAAAUCCCUCGGGCGUUUUGCCCGUGCCGGUUCGAGUCCGGCCCCGGGCA